rnacentral:lncRNA from 1 species
AACCUGGUUUCUCAAGUUAAAGCACGGAACUCCCAGGACUUAAUCCUGAAUUUUGUUGUUGUGCUUUAACCCCUCAGGCCCCCCAGCCUGGACAUCAAACACGUGAUGGGAUUAUCUGACUUGAGGAAAAAACUGCCAGAAGCUGCAUUUGGGAAAAAAAAUUACACCGGGAACGAAGGUGAGCAGGAAAUCUUGGGAAUCAUCCUCAUUCCCAGUGCUCCCAGCAGUUCAGAAUCCAUGGGAAAUCACCCUCCCAAAAUCCUAAAUCCUUUCUUUUUUCCCCCAGUCUGCUUUCAGGGGGUUUACUCCAGUCUCUACGAGGUGGAAAUAUCCAAGAAGGAUCAAUCCCGAAUGGAUCAGCUGGUGGAAAAUCUGGUGGAGAAGGACUUGGCAAUCAUCAAAUAUCUGCAGGACCAAGGAGUUCUCAUCCUGCUCACCUCCUCAGCCUUGGCACGGGAGGACGGCCUGGAGCCCAAGGAGCCUGUCAGCCUGCUGGCCCUGUUCCUGUUCCGCUCGCCCCGGGCCCUGA